CCUACGGGUGGCAGCAGUGAGGAAUAUUGGUCAAUGGCCGAGAGGCUGAACCAGCCAAGUCGCGUGAGGGAAGACGGCCCUACGGGUUGUAAACCUCUUUUGUACGAGGGUAAACUCAGAUACGUGUAUCUUUCUGAAAGUAUCUUAUGAAUAAGGAUCGGCUAACUCCGUGCCAGCAGCCGCGGUAAUACGGAGGAUUCAAGCGUUAUCCGGAUUUAUUGGGUUUAAAGGGUGCGUAGGCGGUCGGAUAAGUUAGAGGUGAAAUCCUGAGGCUCAACUUCGGAAUUGCCUCUGAUACUGUUCGGCUAGAGAGUAGUUGCGGUAGGCGGAAUGUAUGGUGUAGCGGUGAAAUGCUUAGAGAUCAUACAGAACACCGAUUGCGAAGGCAGCUUACCAAGCUACUUCUGACGUUGAGGCACGAAAGCGUGGGGAGCAAACAGGAUUAGAUACCCGAGUAGUC
rnacentral:rRNA from 1 species